rnacentral:misc_RNA from 1 species
AAGUCGUAACAAGGUAACCGUAGGUGAACCUGCGGUUGGAUCAUUAUCGAUUUUUUUUUCGGAGUAGUUUUAUUUGUGCGUGCUCUCUAUUGCCAGUGGUGAAAGAGUGUACAAAACAAUACAAACGAAAAGAAGAAGAUCACAAUCUGUGCACCUGUAAUUGUACGUUGGCGACUGUCCAGUGCUUUGUGCUGGACAUGCAUUCAAUUGCAAAGGUCGUCAAAGGAGUAAACAACCUAACCAAUUUUUAUAAUUUUUUUUUUUUUUGACUUUAAACUUUGAAACCAAGAACAACUAUUAACAAUGGAUCUCUUGGCUCUC